UAUCUCUCCGUACGGGGAAGGAUGAGAAGCUUCGACCAAGGUUCGAUUCGAGCGCAGCGAGAAAGCGUUGCCGUAGGCAACGACCCGAAGGGCGAAGCGCGCAGCGCUGAGUCAUCC
rnacentral:sRNA from 1 species